GUCGAAUGAAAAAAUUACACUUUUAUUAAAGUAGACCGACACACAGGCAGCCUCGAAAGGGGUUGCCUGUUUUUGUCUGUAAAAU
rnacentral:tRNA from 1 species